rnacentral:sRNA from 1 species
GGGGUUUCACCAAGUUGGUCAGGCUGGUUUCGAAUUCCUGGCCUCAAGUGAUCCACCCGCCUUGGCCUCCCAAAGUUCUGGGAUUACAGGAGUGAACCACCUUGCCUGGGCUUACUUAGCUGAUCUCUUAAGUUUCUUUCCCAUUUUAAUAAUUUUUAAAAUUGUAAGUCAUAAGUUAGAACAUAGGGCUCCCUCUACAAUUUUUAAUAUCAGUUUUAGCUUCUAAUACCUUUAAAUCUGCUCUCAAGAACACUCACACCUCCCCAUAAAAGGCACAUCCACUGUAGUAUGCAAGCCUAUAGUCAUUGAAACUCAGCUCUAUGUUAUUGUGGCCCAGCUGUUUGGUGGCUCUCACAUCUAUAAGCGAGACAGUUUUGCAAAUAAAUUCAUAAAAAUCCAGGAUAUUGAAAUUCUCAAAAUCCGAAAACCCAAUGACAUUGAAACAUUCAAGAUUGAAAACAACUGGUACUUUGUUGUUGCUGACAGUUCAAAAGCUGGUUUUACUACCAUUUACAAAUGGAACGGAAACGGAUUCUACUCCCAUCAAUCCUUACACGCGUGGUACAGGGACACUGAUGUGGAAUAUCUAGAAAUAGUCAGAACACCUCAGACACUCAGAACGCCUCAUUUAAUUCUGUCUAGUAGUUCCCAGCGUCCUGUAAUUUAUCAGUGGAACAAAGCAACACAAUCAUUCACUAACCAAACUGACAUUCCUAACAUGGAGGAUGUGUACGCAGUGAAGCACUUCUCAGUGAAAGGGGACGUGUACAUUUGCUUGACAAGAUUCAUUGGUGAUUCCAAAGUCAUGAAAUGGGGAGGCUCCUCGUUCCAGGAUAUUCAGAGGAUGCCAUCGCGAGGAUCCAUGGUGUUCCAGCCUCUUCAAAUAAAUAAUUACCAAUAUGCAAUUCUUGGAAGUGAUUACUCCUUUACUCAAGUGUAUAACUGGGAUGCAGAGAAAGCCAAAUUUGUGAAAUUUCAGGAAUUAAAUGUUCAGGCACCAAGAUCAUUCACACAUGUGUCCAUUAAUAAGCGUAAUUUUCUUUUUGCUUCCAGUUUUAAGGGAAAUACACAGAUUUACAAACAUGUCAUAGUUGACUUAAGCGCAUGAGACACCAAAUUCUGUGGCUGCCAUCAGAAAUUUUCUACAGUACAUGACCCGGAUGAACUCAAUGCAUGAUGACUCUUCUUAUCACACUUGCAAAUGAAUGCCUUUCAAACAUUGAGACUGCUAGAACCAAGCACUACCAGUAUCUCCAUCCUUAACUGUCCAGUCCAGUGAUGUGGGAAGUUACCUUUUAUAAGACAAAAUUUAAUUGUGUAACUGUUCUUUGCAGUGAAGAUGUGUAAAUAAGCGUUUAAUGGUAUCUGUUACUCCAAAAAGAAAUAAUAUGUACUUUUCCAUUUAUUUAUUC